GCCAAGGUAGCUUAGAGGCAAAGCGAUGGACUGCAAAUCCAUUUAACGGGAGUUCGAAUCUCUCUCUUGGCU
rnacentral:tRNA from 1 species